rnacentral:lncRNA from 1 species
CGCAAAUACAUCCAUGAUGAUGAUAGAUCUAAAGUUGACUUCUCAUUAAGAAUUUAUUCCCUGCAUUUGGCCUUUAGUAUUUCAUUAGACUCAGGAGCACCUGGAUUUGUGCAGCUAGAGGUUUUAUUAUUCUUGCAAUGUUCCAGUCUAUUUUCAGUUCAUUAGCAUAUGCAUCCAUGGUGAGAGUGCUGAUGAGUUUCCCAGAAGCUAUGUUCUUAUGUUCAUUUACCCUCUGUUGUAAAGUUCUUAUGGUUAUGCCUAUGUAUGCUGUGUUCUGUUGGCAGUUAAUUAACUUGGCCAGAAUUUUGUACACUCCUGAUUUUUGCCAAUUGUUCCUUCUCUCUUUCUCAUUUCUGAGCU